UAAUUCAGCUACACAAAGUUAGAUAUAUAUACAAUCGCUUUCCAAAUAAUGCCCGGAUUAACGAAACUAGAGCAAGCUAUCUAGACACACACAGACAGCCGCGAAGUAUACAAAUAAGUAACGAGCUCUCGAGGAAAAAUUUACCAAAAUAAAGCAUUAGAAAUUUGAAAAAAACAUCAUUCACCCGACUUUACUUAACAAAUUGUAGGCAUUGUGUUGAGAAAUUAAAACAUAUAUUAUGGCCUCAGUUAUUGUACAAAGGACUUACUUUUCAGUAAACAUACAUAAUGGUUUAUGAUUUUCCAAAUUGUGGCUGCCCAAUGUUGUUUUGCUUUGGACUUUUUAGGCAGUUCUUGGCGGCAGUAGACGGCGCUCCAUUUAAUCUAAUCUUGAGCAAAUAAAUGGCAUCAUACACAAGCAUA